rnacentral:rRNA from 1 species
UACAGAGGGGGCAAGCGUUGUUCGGAAUUACUGGGCGUAAAGGGCGCGUAGGCGGCCUUCUAAGUCGAACGUGAAAUCCCCGGGCUCAACCCGGGAACUGCGUCCGAUACUGGAAGGCUUGAAUCCGGGAGAGGGAUGCGGAAUUCCAGGUGUAGCGGUGAAAUGCGCAGAUAUCAGGAGGAACACCAAUGGCGAAGGCAGCUCGCUGGGACGGUACUGACGCUGAGGCGCGAAAGCGUGGGGAGCAAACAGG